rnacentral:rRNA from 1 species
AAACUCCUACGGGAGGCAGCAGUAGGGAAUCUUCCACAAUGGGCGAAAGCCUGAUGGAGCAACGCCGCGUGGGUGAAGAAGGUCUUCGGAUCGUAAAACCCUGUUGUUAGAGAAGAAAGUGCGUGAGAGUAACUGUUCACGUUUCGACGGUAUCUAACCAGAAAGCCACGGCUAACUACGUGCCAGCAGCCGCGGUAAUACGUAGGUGGCAAGCGUUAUCCGGAUUUAUUGGGCGUAAAGGGAACGCAGGCGGUCUUUUAAGUCUGAUGUGAAAGCCUUCGGCUUAACCGGAGUAGUGCAUUGGAAACUGGGAGACUUGAGUGCAGAAGAGGAGAGUGGAACUCCAUGUGUAGCGGUGAAAUGCGUAGAUAUAUGGAAGAACACCAGUGGCGAAAGCGGCUCUCUGGUCUGUAACUGACGCUGAGGUUCGAAAGCGUGGGUAGCAAACAGGAUUAGAUACCCUGGUAGUCCACGCCGU